rnacentral:misc_RNA from 1 species
UCCGGCUUCUCGCCGGCAGUCCUCUUUGAGUACCCGGGUAGUCCUAGCCGUAAACGGUGGGUGCUAGGUGUGGGGGUCGCAAGACUUCCGUGCCGCAGCUAACGCAUUAAGCACCCCGCCUGGGGAGUACGGCCGCAAGGCUAAAACUCAAAGGAAUUGACGGGGGCCCGCACAAGCGGCGGAGCGCGUGGCUUAAUUCGAUGCAAAGCGAAGAA